rnacentral:rRNA from 1 species
GAUGAACGCUGGCGGCGUGCUUAACACAUGCAAGUCGAACGAAGCACUUAAGAUUGAUUCUUCGGAUGACGUCUUUUGUGACUUAGUGGCGGACGGGUGAGUAACGCGUGGGUAACCUGCCUCACACAGGGGGAUAACAGUUAGAAAUGACUGCUAAUACCGCAUAACCCGAUAGGAUCGCAUGAUCCAGACGGAAAAGAUUUAUCGGUGUGAGAUGGACCCGCGGCUGAUUAGCUAGUUGGUGAGGUAACGGCCCACCAAGGCGAGGAUCAGUAGCCGGCAUGAGAGGCUGAACGGACACAUUUGCACGAGGACGCAGCCCAAACUCCUACGGGAGGCAGCAGAGGGUAAUAUUGCACAAUCGGGGAAACCCUGAUGCAGCGACGCCGGGUGAGUGAAGAAGGAUUUCGGUAAGUAAAGCUCUAUCAGCAGGGAAGAAAAUGACGGUACCUGACGAAGAAGCCCCGGCUAACUACGUG